rnacentral:rRNA from 1 species
AUGCACGCUGGCGGCGUGCCUAAUACCUGCAAGUCGCGCGAACAGACGAGGAGCUUGCUCCUCUGACGUUAGCGGCGGACGGGUGAGUAACACGUGGAUAACCUACCUAUAAGACUGGGAUAACUUCGGGAAACCGGAGCUAAUACCGGAUAAUAUAUUGCACCGCAUGGUUCCAUAGUGAAAGACGGUUUUGCUGUCACUUAUAGAUGGAUCCGCGCCGCAUUAGCUAGUUGGUAAGGUAACGGCCUACCAAGGCAUCGAUGCGUAGCCGACCUGAGUGGGUGAUCGUCCACACUAGAACUGAGACACGGUCCAGACUCCUAAGGGAGGCAGCAGUAGGGAAUCUUCCGCAAUGGGAGAAAGCUUGACGGAGCAACGCCGCGUGAGUGAUGAAGGUCUUCGGAUCGUAAAACUCUGUUCUCAGGGAAGAACAAAUGUGUAAGUAACUAUGCACGUCGUGAGGGUACCUAAUCAGAAAGCCACGGCUAACUACGUG